rnacentral:tRNA from 1 species
ACUGUGGCUCAGCUGGCAGAGCAGCUGAUUCGUAAUCAGCAGGUCGCCGGUUCAAAUCCGGCCAGU